rnacentral:misc_RNA from 1 species
GUGCAUACUACACAUUCAAGGCUACUCUUGGGACAGAGUACUUGCAUAUCUAAAUUGUGGGUAUGAAGAUUUCAGUUUUGACAUCAAAUAUGCGUACCUUGUAAUGUACACACACACAAAUUAAGGUGGUACUGUUUGUCUGUUUGCAAGUUUUAUCCCUCAUCCAUGGAUGCAUAGCAAAAGAGGGACAAUUUUGUGGUACUCUACAUGUUUGGAAUUCCUUAUUACAGUCCUGGGACUGCCAAAAAUAAUACUGUGGUUUAAGCUGCCAGAGGGUUGCUGCCUAUUACUG